CAGCUGGAUCCAGGCAGCCUGAAAAUACUUUGUCUGCUACAUACUAUAUUAGUUUUUUCCUAUGUGUCAUUAUCUUACAUUGUCUGCUACAUACUAUAGUAGUUUGGUUAAUGGUUACAAUCUUCACGUCAGGAACAAACUCAAAGAUAAGUGCUCUUCUUCUAUUAAAAUUGGAAUUAUAUAUUUUUUAUUUAUAAUUGUGAAGUUUGCUUUUAUUGUUAUUGAGUUGUAUGAUUAUCAUGAAAUUUUUACCAUGUAAACAAAUAAAUCAAUUCUAAAAAUAAUAUGAUUGUUUUUACAAGUUAUACAUAUAUUUUUUUUUAAUUAUAUAUUUUUCGAUAAUCUAUAUGACUAUUUAGUUAAAUGGUGAAAUCUUUUUCAAAAUUUGCAUCUGUAGUUAUAUUUUUUGUACAACUAGGGUUUAGGGUUGGGAAUAGGGUUUUAGUAUACUUCGGGUUUAGUAUUUAGCAUUUAUGUAUUAGGUUUAGGAUUACAGUUUAAGGUUAGUAUGUUUAGGGUUAGGGUUUCAAGAUUAAGGUUAGUAUAUUUAGGGUUAGGGUUUCUAGAUUAAGGUUUAGGAUUUAGUAUAUUUAGGAAUAAGUUUUUAAGGUUUAGUAUAUAUAGAGUUAGGAUUAGGAUUUCAGGGUUUAGGAUUAGGGUUUAAUAUUAGUAUAUUUACGGUUAGUGUUAGGAUAACGGUUUAGGAUUUAGUAUAUUUAGGAUUAGGUUUUAAGGUUUAGUAUAUUUAAAGUUAGGAUUAGGGUUUCAGGGUUUAGGGUUAGGGUUUAAUGUUAGUAUAUUUACGGUUAGUGUUAGGAUAACGGUUUAGGAUUUAGUAUAUUUAGGAUUAGGUUUUAAGGUUUAGUAUAUUUAGAGUUAGGAUUAGGGUUUCAGGGUUUAGGAUUAGGGUUUAAUGUUAGUAUAUUUACGGUUAGUUUUAGGAUAAUGGUUUAGGAUUUAAGGUAUUAGGAUUUAGUAUAUUAGGAUUGACUCCAGGUAAAUUCAUCUUUUCCCACCUAUCAUCCUUUUUUUUCGUGCAGUUACUGCCUUUGAAUUAUUAGUCGCUAUUUCUAACUCGCAUGGUACUAUAUGAACAUGUGGCAAUUGCAGCUACGGACUGCCAAUCUCUUGAUGUUGCAAAGGAGUUGCGUUCAAUUGUUACUGCUAAUUUCAGAUGCAGAUGUGAAGCUUGUUUUCCCGAAUGAACAAGUGCCUUUUGAAGCAGAAUUACCCUUUGAGUCUUGGUUAGAUAAAGCUGUCGUUGAACCAUCCCUUAAUGAUCCUUACGAUCCCAAUAUUUUGAAUUUAGCAAAGAGUGCCUCUUGCCACAUUAUGAAGUAUUCAGCUUCCAGGCACUUUGAAAUGUUCAUUUUAUAUUUAUUUUGCGGCUUCCAUACACUAUAAGUCUUGAAGCGACGGAUUUAUCAAAUUUUUAUAUGCUGCUUAUGUUCUUACAAAGAUUCUAGAACAAAUCUGAGUUUGAAACAAAUCCUUGACACCUAUAUGAAGCAGCUGCAACUCAGAUGCCAAGUUUUAUGUUCUGUAUCAGGCAACCGAGAGUGGCUAUGGAAUUGCUGCAAGGGCUUUGACUGCUGUAAUAAGGGUCAUAAUGAUCGCGGACCAAAGACAAAAGACAAUGCUGACUGAUAAAAUUUUGAAUGCACUUGAUCUCGCUUCACCAAAUGAACUCAUCGGAGACGGCUUGUAAUUUAGGCAGUGUAAACCGUCUCUAAAGCUCCAGACUAAUACGAACCAUGAAUUCAAUCCGAUUCAGUCAGGCUGUCCAGCAUUCACAGGUCCAGUCCAGCAGCUUAUACGUGCUUCACUCCUGCAUACUUCAGCUUCCUGCCACCACAGUUAAACCUGUUGUUUAAGUGUGUUAGUCUUUUUUAGAGUUUGUUAGAGGCAGUAAUUUUUUUCUCUGUUUUCUUAAGCAUUGGCAGCUUGUAUAUAAUAAGCUAAACAUUGCUCAGUAGAAUUACUAAGUUGUAAUCAUUGUAUUGCAAUUAAUAAAAACUUCCUUUCUCCUCUCAA